GAAAUGCGAUAACUAGUGUGAAUUGCAGAAUUCCAUGAAUCAUCGAGUCUUUGAACGCACAUUGCGCCCCCUGGUAUUCCGGGGGGCAUGCCUGUCCGAGCGUCAUUGCUGCCCAUCAAGCACGGCUUGUGUGUUGGGUCGUCGUCCCCUCUCCGGGGGGGACGGGCCCCAAAGGCAGCGGCGGCACCGCGUCCGAUCCUCGAGCGUAUGGGGCUUUGUCACCCGCUCUGUAGGCCCGGCCGGCGCUUGCCGAACGCAGAUCAAUCUUUUUCCAGGUUGACCUCGGAUCAGGUAGGGAUACCCGCUGAACUUAAGC
rnacentral:misc_RNA from 1 species